rnacentral:rRNA from 1 species
CCUACGGGGGGCUGCAGUGGGGAAUAUUGGACAAUGGGGGGAACCCUGAUCCAGCCAUGCCGCGUGUGUGAAGAAGGCCCUCGGGUUGUAAAGCACUUUCAGUGAGGAAGAACGCCUGGUGGUUAAUACCCAUCAGGAAAGACAUCACUCACAGAAGAAGCACCGGCUAACUCCGUGCCAGCAGCCGCGGUAAUACGGAGGGUGCGAGCGUUAAUCGGAAUUACUGGGCGUAAAGCGCGCGUAGGUGGCUUGAUAAGCCGGUUGUGAAAGCCCCGAGCUCAACCUGGGAACGGCAUCCGGAACUGUCAAGCUAGAGUGCAGGAGAGGAAGGUAGAAUUCCCGGUGUAGCGGUGAAAUGCGUAGAGAUCGGGAGGAAUACCAGUGGCGAAGGCGGCCUUCUGGACUGACACUGACACUGAGGUGCGAAAGCGUGGGUAGCAAACAGGAUUAGAUACCCCUGUAGUC